rnacentral:tRNA from 1 species
GCCUGGCUGGCUCAGUUGGUAGAGCAUGUAACUUUUGAUCUCAGGGCCGUGAGUUCGAGUGCCACAUUGGGCA